UUUGUUUGCUCUUCUCAUAUCUU
rnacentral:sRNA from 1 species